ACAGUGAUGCUUGUGUCCAUGAGGCUUGUGUUCACUGAGCAGCUUUGGGAGCCUGCUACAUGCAGGACAUCGUUGACAGUACCCUAAUGUGUGGGAAAGGGCCGUGUGUACAAGAAGGUGGUGGUACUGUUUUGCAUGUCACGGAAACAAAGUGAGUCAGAGCUUCAUAAGCUUUGUGGAAUUUGCUGGGCAAAAGCUUGUGUCGGGUGAGAUCCUGUCGAUAUAUCUAAGAAUGGAGUUUGGGUUCUGGGUGUCGGUCAGCUUUUUCAUGGGUGGCCAGACACACUGAGGUCUUCAUUUUGGCGUAACUACUGAAGUCAUUUCAUUUUUGUUUUCUGGUCCCUUUCAGAGGUGUGGGUUUUCCCUCCCUAAUAACCGAGUCUGCAUGCUGUUGAAGAGUGUCAGGGUGUGUGCUAAGUUGACCUUGCAGGUCUGUUUGCUAUCCUGACACAAAGGGGCUACUGGGAAGUUUUUAGCCAGCUGUGAUGACAGGGAAGGAGGUGUUUGCCUGCAGACCCAGUAGGGGCAUGAAUGAGAAAGGGGAGUUUUCAAAUGGAGCGAGGAUGGCAUGAAUUCCUGCCGUAGAUAUGAGCUGAGGUGUGGAGACCUGGCUUUGUGUCUGUUGGAGGAAGCAGCUCUGCUGACACCCCGGUCCACAGCGUCACUCUCCAUGAACACGUCGGUAGGGAUAGGACCUCAAUAAAACAUGCCUGGCCAGAGGGGAAAGGGGAACUUACUGUGCCUGUGAGAAAACAGAAGUAGAAUCAGCACCUUCCUCCAGCCCACUGUGGCUGGUCACACUGUGGCCUCGGCAGUUGCUGUCCUGGCCUGUUGCUGACUUGAUUUUAGAGCCCAGCAGUGGAGGUGAAAGCUUUGGAGACUUUUUUUUGAUUUUGUUUUUUUCUGAGGCAGGGUGGUGUCCCCCAGGCUGGAGUGCAGUGGCACGAUCAUGGCUCACUGCAGCCUCAACCCUCCGAACUCAGGUAUCUUCCCCCAACCCCCCUUCCCGAGUAGCUGGGACCACAGGUACACACCACCAUUCCUGGCUAAUUUUUCAUAGAGACAGAGUCUCGCCAUAUUGCCCAGGCUGGGCUUGAACUCCUGGGCUCAAGUGAUCCUCCCACCCCAGCCUCCCAAAGUGCUGGGAUUACAGGUGUGAGCCACUGUGCCUGGCCACCUGGAGACUUUGAAUCUUAGCUCAGAGCAGGGUAGCUGUGUGACCUUGCCAACCACGGAGCCUUUUAAAGUUCCAGUUUCCUCAUGUGUCUAAAAUGAUAAUACCUCCUCCCAGAGUUGUUGUUAUUUUUUAUUGUGGUGAAGUAUACCUAACAUCAAGGUUACCAUUUUAACCAUUUCUAAGUGGAUAAAUCAGUGGCAUUACACACAUUCACACUGUUGUGUAGAGCUACCAGCACCGGCCACCUUCAGAACGUUUUCAUCUUCCCAAACGGAAACUCUGUACCCAUUAACCCGUCAGCCCCUAACCCACCACCCCUUAAAAGAGCUGAGAUUUGAACCCAGGGGUUUUGGCUCUGCGUGUCUUGUGUUCUCCUACCACAUCAUAACUCAAGAGGGUUUGUGGUCUUAAAUGUUGAAGACACCUUCUAAGAACAUAUUAUGGUAGUCAGUGCUAUCUACAAAAAUGCAUUUUCUAAAUGAACUAAGGCCUCAUCCUUGAUCUGUCGCUAAGGCUGAAUGAGAGCCUGAACUAAUGAGGUUUGCUGUGUGAUUCUGCUGAAAUUCUCGCUGAGGACGCUGCAGAGUUCGAUUGUCCCUUCUCUGGGCUCAUCUUGCCGUGUUCUCUCUCAUCACUGGAUGCCUUGACCACCCCACCAUGAGGGUUUUCCCCCGUUAGCCUCAGGGACUUGCCAGUUCCUAGUUUGCCUCCUCUCUCUCUGGGGGCACCUUUUUGGUUGUCCCCCUCCCCGUCCUACUCC